UACGAAGGGGGCUAGCGUUGCUCGGAAUCACUGGGCGUAAAGGGUGCGUAGGCGGGUCUUUAAGUCAGGGGUGAAAUCCUGGAGCUCAACUCCAGAACUGCCUUUGAUACUGAAGAUCUUGAGUUCGGGAGAGGUGAGUGGGACUGCGAGUGUAGAGGUGAAAUUCGUAGAUAUUCGCAAGAACACCAGUGGCGAAGGCGGCUCACUGGCCCGAUACUGACGCUGAGGCACGAAAGCGUGGGGAGCAAACAGG
rnacentral:rRNA from 1 species